rnacentral:rRNA from 1 species
AGAGUUCGAUCCUGGCUCAGGAUGAACGCUGGCGGCGUGCCUAACACAUGCAAGUCGAGCGAUUUACUUCGGUAAAGAGCGGCGGACGGGUGAGUAACGCGUGGGUAACCUGCCCUGUACACACAGAUAACAUACCGAAAGGUAUGCUAAUACGAGAUAAUAUGCUUUUAUCGCACGGUAGAAGUAUCAAAGCUUUUGCGGUACAGGAUGGACCCGCGUCUGAUUAGCUAGUUGGUAAGGUAACGGCUUACCAAGGCGACGAUCAGUAGCCGACCUGAGAGGGUGAUCGGCCACAUUGGAACUGAGACACGGUCCAA